rnacentral:rRNA from 1 species
CUAUGCGCCUUGCCAGCCCGCUCAGGUGUGCCAGCCGCCGCGGUAAUACGUAGGUGGCGAGCGUUGUCCGGAUUUACUGGGCGUAAAGGGAGCGUAGGCGGACUUUUAAGUGAGAUGUGAAAUACUCGGGCUCAACUUGAGUGCUGCAUUUCAAACUGGAAGUCUAGAGUGCAGGAGAGGAGAAUGGAAUUCCUAGUGUAGCGGUGAAAUGCGUAGAGAUUAGGAAGAACACCAGUGGCGAAGGCGAUUCUCUGGACUGUAACUGACGCUGAGGCUCGAAAGCGUGGGAGCAACAGG